GGGGUUAUUAAGGAUAAUUAGCAAAUUUAUAAAUAAGGAGGCAUAAGCCUAAUGCUACAUAUAUUAAGUGGCAGUCCUAAGGGAAACCUUUUAUUUAAUACUUCCUGAAGUAAAUCAUUUUAGUAAGGAAAGGAAAGGAAAUCAACCGAGACUCCGAGAGUAAUGGUGAGUGAAAUCGGAUUAGCCUGUUAUGUUUAAUAAGUGAAAACUUACACUUAAAAAAAUAAAAAUUUCUUUUUGUUUAACUAUAAAGAAUAAUAAGUGUACCAAAGAAGGUAAAAACCAUAGUCCUGUAACUUUUUAAAUGUAACUAAUUAAGCCUAUCUUCAAAUAGGUAAUAAUUAAACAAAGUACGAUGAGAGCAAACUUGUCGGAAUAUAGGGGAACCAUCCUCUAAGGCUAAGUAUUAUAAAUUUAGCGAUAGUGAAUAGUACUGUAAAGGAACAUGUGAAAAAGUAUAAUAUAAAAUUAUUGAAAUAGGUAUUGAAUUAGUAACUCUAUAAGCAGCCGAAAUUAAAAUAAAACAAUGACGGCGUACCUUUUGCAUAAUGGGUCAGCAAGUUAAUAGGAAUAGCAAGGUUAAAAGCCUUAGCGAAAGCGACUAAACUAAAUUAGGAUUGUAGAAUAAUUUAUUUUACAAUUUGUUUUUAAUUUAAUUUAAUUAAAAAAGAGUAACACCUUAUGUAAAAUUUUAUAAAUUUAAUUUGUAUAAAUUAUUAAUGUAAGUUGUUAUUUUCUAAUCUAUAGUGUUGGGUAAGUUAUUUCUAUUAGACCCGAAGCUAGAUGAUCUUUUCAGAGCCAGAUUAAUAAGGAUCGAACGGGUGAAUGUUGCAGAAUUCUCCGAUGAGCUCUGAAAAGCGGUGAAAUGCCAAUCUAAUCUAGUGCUAGCUGGUAUUCUUCGAAACAUAUGUAAGUAUGACAUCCAAUUAGAUUUAUGGAGGUACAGCACGGAAAUUCCGAACAAGUAAUAUUCUCUUUACUGUUUUUAAAAAUUGUAAAGUUUUAAAAUAUUAUGCGUUUAGGUUGCGGGGAUCUAGUAAAUCUUACCAAUGGAAUUUAAACUCGGAAGUACAUAAAUUGAUGUUGGAUAUUCAGACUGCUCAUGAUAAGUUGGGUAGUCAAGACGAAAACAGUCGAGAACACGCUUUAAGGUCCCAAAUGAUUAUUAAGUGAAAUUAAGGAUGUCCCAAAUUGUAAGCAGCUGUAAAGUGAGCCUGGUAGUCGCUACUUUUAAUGAUCGUUGUAACAACGCAGCAGCACUUUAGAUUGUGGCACUGAAAAUUUAACGGGUCUUAAAUAAUCAACCGAUAACGUGUUGGUUAAAAAACAUUUGUUUUUAUUUAUUUUUUAAUUUAGGUAGAAGAACAUUCAGGAACGGAAGAUACACAGUGUUUCAUUGUGAUUGACGAACUGAAGAGAGAAUGCUGACAUGAGUAACGUAAAAAGAAGUUUUAAUACUUCUCGCCGAAUACGAAAGGGUUGUAAGUAAGGUUUAAACCAACUUAUGUUAAAUGCGGGUCUCUAAGGUGCAGAACCAAAGUUCUGGCUGAUGAGGUAGUGAUAGUUUUGUCUUAAUGGAAGAUUGGACCAAGAAAAGAAAUCACUUCUUAAGAAUUUUUUUUUAUAUUAAAAAGUAAGUUACAAUUUUUAAUAAUUGGACUUAAAUUAUUCUUAGUUUAAGUUUUUAAUGUUAAUUGUUAUAUUUAGGUGAUAAAAUAAUAAUGAAACUUAAGUUAAAUGAACUACCGUACCCUAAACCGACACAGGUUCGUAGGUAGAGAAUACUAAGGCGUAGAGCUAAAAGUUGUAAAGGAACUCGGCAAGUUGUCCUCAAAAGUUAGACGAUAAGAGGAACCAAAUAAAAUAAUUUUCGGUUUUAACUUUUUCUCGCAAAGCCUAGCUUUGCUCCUGAAUAAGGGGAAUAAGUCUAUUAUCGAUUUAUUGUUCCAACUUGGUCAUUAUACUAUGUUAAUUCUUGUAGUUAAUACUAGAUUAGUGAUUAUCCCUAAUUCUAAUCUUUCUUAAAUCUAAGAAGGUUGUUGAGUGGGAAACAAUAAAGUCAGCCAUGAUAUAUUAUUUGAAAUUGGUGGCACAAAAUCGGAGGCCUCGACUGUUUACUAAAAACACAAGAAUGUGCAAUGAUUAAAAUCAUAGUAUACGUUCUGAAAUUUGCUCGAUGCCAUUAAUAUAAAAGAGGUAAUAGGUAACUGUUACUAAUUGAAAAUCUGGUUAAUAGCGGUCUUAACUAUGAGGAUCUGAUUAAAACCUAUAGGGUCCUCAAUAAACUCGAUGAUAUGCUGGAACACCCUUAAGCUUUAAGUACUAUUACUUAAAUAAAUAGUUACAAUCUUGAAGAUAACAAAAAGGGCAAUCAGCAGGGAAAAUUAAAAAGUGAAUUAUAAAUUUAUUUAUAUAAACUAGUAAAAAGUAUAAAGUAUCUCCCAAUGGAUUAAGUUUUUUAUAAAAAUGACAAAUAGAAAUAUUAAAAAUACUAUGUAUCUUUAUUUUUUAGGUGGAUUUGUUGAAGGAGAAGGUUCUAAUUCUGUUUCUAUUUCUAUUAAUAAAAAUUUUAAAUAUGGAGUAAAUAUCCAACCUGUUUUUAACGUAACUCAACAUAAAAAUGGAUUAAAUAUUUUAUAUUCCUUUAAAGAACUUUUUAAUGGUGGAUCUAUUUUUGAAAAAUCUGGAUCUCCAGAUAUUUUUGUUUAUACUUUGAAAGGAUAUAAGCAAAUUAUUAAACAUGUAAUACCUUUUUUAGAAAUUUAUGUUCAACCGUUUAGUUGUAAAAAAGAAGAAUUUUCUUUCUUUAAAGAAAUUGUUUUACAAUCUUCAGAGGGUAAACAAAAAAAUAAAGAAACUUUAAUAGAGAUGGUUAAAUUAAUUUAUAAACUUCAAGGUAAAGGCAAAAAUCGAAAAAGAGAAAUAUCUGAAAUACUUGAAAUAAUAGAAGAUAAAACAACUUACUUUAACAAAAUAACUAAUAAUAGUAAAGAAAUUCAAACAGAUUAAAUAUUAAACCCUUUCUUUUUAUCUAUUUAGAUUUAUUAAAUAUAAACUUAAUUGCCCUCAGAGACUAGAUAAUCGAGCAAAUAAUUUUAUUUGAUGAUAUAGUCCAAAUUACAAUAGAAAUAUUGUAUUUAAAUAGCCUAAGGUAGCGAAAUCAAUUGGCCAUUAAAUGUGGUCCGGUAUCAAUAAUGUAACGAAGGUCUCACUGUCUCUACAACUUGCUCAGUGAAAUUGAAUUACCAGUGCAGAUGCUGGUUACUCUCAGUGGGACGGGAAGACCCUAUGCAGCUUUACUGUAGUUAGUUAAUAUGCUGAUCUAGAACAAUUCUAAUCAAUAGUGAUUAGGUAUGUCGAUAGACGUAAACCCGCAAGGGUGGUGGAAACCUCCAGAUUGGAAUUGGGUCAGUGUUUACCUUUUUUUUUAUUUGGGAUAAUUGACUAAUUGGCAGUUUGACUGGGGCGGUCGUCUUUAAUAAAGUAGCAAAGUACAUCCACAGUUUUAAAAACAACAAUUAUUACAAUAUUAUUAUUUAAUAAUAAUAAUAGUAUUGCACACUAAAAAGAUUAAUUAGUUUAUAACUAAUCAUCUGUUUUUAAAUUUAACCUUCACAUAUAAAACAAACAAAAUUUUUAAGGUAUAGCUAGAAAUCGAAUGGAGAUCAAUCAACCAGUGUAAAGGUUGCGUAUAGUAUAAUGGCGGUAAGCAUAUCUAACUGAAAGACCUAAAAGUCGACCAGAUACGUAAGUAGGGCAUAGUGACCCCUCGCUAUAAAAUGGAAUAGACGGGGAUCAUUUGAUAAAAGCUACGCUAGGGAUAACAGGCUGAUAGCCGGCGAGAGUACACAUUGUCCCGGCUGUUUGGCACCU
rnacentral:rRNA from 1 species